UCUUGUAUACCAACCUGAACACACUCAAAAUAAUCUAAUUUUGGAAGGUAAGCAGGGUCAGCCCUAGUUAGUAGAUGAAUGGGGGACUACUAGGGAAUACCAGAGAUAUCCAGGGA
rnacentral:rRNA from 1 species